CUGAGUACCGGGUCUCUCAGGCCCUUACUCCCACCCUUUGUUUACCUUACCAAAUCUUCAGUUGCCUUGGUGGGACUCCAAAAUUCCUCCCUUGGAUUAGUUUUAUACUGAUCCUUUAGGUAAAAAAAGGAACUCACCAUUGGAACUUUUUUAAAACUCUUAUGAAUUGGGUUUGUCUGAGAACAAAUACAAAUAAAUUA
rnacentral:misc_RNA from 1 species